rnacentral:tRNA from 1 species
AAGAAUUUAGUUAAAACAUAACAUUAAUUUGUCAAAUUAAAAUUAUUUGUAAAAUAGUUCUUU